UUGCAUUCAUGUAAUUGAACAGAAAGGUACGUGUGCGACAUUUUGAUGAGCGAUGAAUGAUCAGUCAUUUGCGGUGGUAAGCACUAGGUAUAUAAGCGGUUGGAUUUUGGACAAUUGCAUUGUGUGUUCGAAUACAUACAGAGAUCAUGUUCAAAUUGUUAAUUCUGGUUUUCGCCAUGUUGCUUGCCCUGGCCGUGGCCGCACCCGGACCACGUCCUCAAUUUUACUACGGCUCUUACCCUUACAGCUACGGAUACUCGUCGGGAUAUUCCUAUCCUUACUAUGGAGGAUAUUACAUUUAACAGUGGACAAUUUUAUAGAUUCCCGACUUAGUGUUUGGCCAACCAACUGCUGUUAUCAAUGUUCGAAAGUGAUUUUGCUCUAAACUGUAAUAUAACGCUUGAUAUACAAAAGUGAUGAUCCAAUAAAAAAUACUUUCCAGUGCAUUUGAGUUUUGCAAUGUCUGUUCUAGAUGGUGUAA